rnacentral:misc_RNA from 1 species
UUUGAGAAUCCAAGACUUCGAAAUGCUUACAUAGCAUUGCAAGCUUGGAAACAAGCUAUUUUCUCUGAUCCUAUGAAUUUCACUGCCAAUUGGGUUGGAUCUAAGGUCUGUAACUACACUGGGGUUUUCUGUGCUCCAGCUCUCGAUAAUAAGACCAUCAACACUGUCGCUGGCAUUGACCUCAACCAUGCUGAUAUCGCUGGAUACUUGCCGGAGGAGCUUUCAUUGCUAGUGGAUCUUGCAUUGUUUCACAUCAACUC